rnacentral:rRNA from 1 species
GUGGAUUAGUGGCGAACGGGUGAGUAACACGUGGGCAAUCUGCCCUGCACUCUGGGACAAGCCCUGGAAACGGGGUCUAAUACCGGAUAACACUCUCGCAGGCAUCUGUGAGGGUUAAAAGCUCCGGCGGUGCAGGAUGAGCCCGCGGCCUAUCAGCUUGUUGGUGGGGUGAUGGCCUACCAAGGCGACGACGGGUAGCCGGCCUGAGAGGGCGACCGGCCACACUGGGACUGAGACACGGCCCAGACUCCUACGGGAGGCAGCAGUGGGGAAUAUUGCACAAUGGGCGAAAGCCUGAUGCAGCGACGCCGCGUGAGGGAUGACGGCCUUCGGGUUGUAAACCUCUUUCAGCAGGGAAGAAGCGAAAGUGACGGUACCUGCAGAAGAAGCGCCGGCUAACUACGUGCCAGCAGCCGCGGUAAUACGUAGGGCGCAAGCGUUGUCCGGAAUUAUUGGGCGUAAAGAGCUCGUAGGCGGCUUGUCACGUCGGUUGUGAAAGCCCGGGGCUUAACCCCGGGUCUGCAGUCGAUACGGGCAGGCUAGAGUUCGGUAGGGGAGAUCGGAAUUCCUGGUGUAGCGGUGAAAUGCGCAGAUAUCAGGAGGAACACCGGUGGCGAAGGCGGAUCUCUGGGCCGAUACUGACGCUGAGGAGCGAAAGCGUGGGGAGCGAACAGGAUUAGAUACCCUG